GACUGCUCUGGUGGCUGUGUGGUAAGAGCUUCCACCUCGGAUGCAGGUAGUCCUUGGUUAGAACCUGAGCCAAGUCA